rnacentral:lncRNA from 1 species
UCAUAGGGCAGGCCAUGCUGUGCCUGAAUGCCACCUCCUCUGAGCCUCUUGUCUUCCCUGCAGGUCUCCUGCCCCUGGGUGAGGGGCCCAACAACAACUUGGCCAUCUCAGGGCACACAGCAGCCACACCAGUCACCCUCGCCACCACACAUGCCCUUCCACCAGGGCUUCUGGCCAUCAUCAGUGCAGAGAAGUUGGUCACAGGGUUGUCCUAGGCCCAACAUGGUCCCGCCUGCCCCUCACCAGCGGCCCAUGAGUGCCAACGGGAAGAUGUUUUCCUUUGUGAUGGACCCCAAGUCCCCUGUCAUCAAGCAAGUGUGGGCCAGUGCCAUGGAACUGUCAGAACAAUGUGUGGUCGAAGGGCUCUCUGGGGCGGUGCCUCCCACCGAGAUCUUCAUGGACCAGGACCUAGGCCAGCAAGACAAGGAUGAGAUCAUUAUGCUACUGGGGAGAGAAAUCAAUCGGCUCUCUGAUUUUGAAAUCGAGUCCAAAUACAAAGAUGCAGUGAUAAUGAACCUGCGGGGUGAGUUGGCUGAACUGAGUCAAAGGCUAUCAGAGACAGCCGCCUGUGGCACCACAGCUAGGCAGAGCGACAGGAGUGCCCUGAAGCUCCAGGGCCUGGAUGAAGACAAUGAUCUCAGGCAGAAGGAGAUUGAGAGCAUGAAAAGCCAGAUCGAUGCCCUUCAAAAAGGCUAUAGCCAGGUGCUAAGCCAGACCCUGGCUGACCGAAACUCGGAAAUCGCAUUACUGAAGAAUGAAGGCGAACACUUGAAGAGAGACCAUGCCAUCACAUCAGGGAUGGUGACGUCUUUACAGAAAGACAUGACAGCACGGGACGAGCAGGUUCAACAGCUGAAGGAGGAGGUGAGUCAAUUAAAGAGCCAGAACAAAGAAAAGGAGUACCAGCUGGAAGUCCUGGGCUCCAGGUGUUCAGUGCUGAAAGAAGAGCUGAGGAAGGAAGAGGCCCAGAAGGAGUGCAGGGAGGCUCAGGAGAAGGAGUUGAAACUCUGCAGAAGUCAAAUGGAAGACAUGGAGAAAGAAUUGAAGAAGCUCAGGGAGGAACUGAAGAAGAACAGUUCCAGUCAGAGUACCAACUCCAAGACGCUACGAGAAAAGAGUAAGGUUGAAGAGAAGCUUCAGGAAGAUUCCAGAAGGAAAUUGCUUCAGCUGCAAGAAAUGGGGAACAGAGAGACCCUCAUUAAAACCAAUUUGGAAAGGGCAGUAGGCCAGCUAGAGUACUUCAGAAGCCAGGUCAUCAAAGCCACUUUUGGAAAAGCAAAGCCGUUCCGUGACAAGCCUGUCACCGACCAGCAGCUGAUAGAGAAGAUCGUCCAGAUCACCGAGGACAACCUCAGCUUCCAUCAGAGGAAGUGGGCCCUGCAGAAGGAUACUCACCUGAGCAACUCCAAGCAGGAGGAGACCAUGGAGAACAUGGAGAAACUGAGGACACUGCUGA